rnacentral:rRNA from 1 species
UACAGAGGGGGCAAGCGUUAUUCGGAAUUAUUGGGCGUAAAGGGCGCGUAGGCGGCUUUGCAAGUGACGGGUGAAAUCCCACGGCUUAACCGUGGAACUGCCUGUCAGACUGCAUGGCUUGAGACCAGGAGAGGUGAGUGGAAUUCCCAGUGUAGCGGUGAAAUACGUAGAUAUUGGGAGGAACACCAGUGGCGAAGGCGGCUCACUGGACUGGUACUGACGCUGAGGCGCGAAAGCGUGGGGAGCGAUCCGG